GGUGUCUGAGAGGUUUUGUCUGCGGCUCGUCCUGCUACAUUUCUUGGUUCCCUGACUGGGAAGCGAGGUGACUGAUGGAUAGCUGAGGCAGCCCCUUAGGUGACUUAAGCCUGCCCUGUGGAGCAUCCCUGAGGGGGACUCCAGCCAGCCUGAGUGACGUGAUCCAAAGAGCGCUCCCGGGUAGGAAACUGCCCCAGUGGAACACCUCGCCAGAGCAGCGCACAUAGCAGGCCCCCGAGGAGGAUUAACACAGUGGCUGAACACCAGGAAGGAACUGGCACUUGGAGUCCGGACAUCUGAAACUUGGUAAGACUAGUCUUUGGAACUUGCCUCACUCCAUCUGAGUGGAAGCGUGGCCUGAUCACCCACAGCGUGCCUGCAUUGGCACUCUUGUUCUGGUUUUGACUUGACUUGAAUUGCUGGAUACUUUGGUUUUGGUUUUGACUUGGCUGGAAUUUUUUGAUACUUGGAUUUUGAAUUUCAUGAUUUUGGUUUGGUAUAAACGGUAGAAGUGUGUGUGUGCCCUCUUUACCUGUUCUUUGUCU
rnacentral:lncRNA from 1 species